rnacentral:rRNA from 1 species
AACGCUGGCGGCGCGCUUAACACAUGCAAGUCGAGCGAGAUCCAGGCCUUCGGGCCUGGGGACAGCGGCGAACGGGUGAGUAACACGUGGGUAAUCAACCCUCGACACUGGGAUAGCCCGGGGAAACCCGGAUUAAUACCGGAUGGCCCUUUGGAUCUUCGGAUCCGACGGGAAAGGUAGCUUCGGGCUCCGGUCGAGGACGAGCCCGCGGCGGAUUAGCUUGUUGGUGGGGUAACGGCUCACCAAGGCGACGAUCCGUAGCUGGUAUGAGAGGACGAUCAGCCACACUGGGACUGAGACACGGCCCAGACUCCUACGGGAGGCAGCAGUGGGGAAUCUUGCGCUAAUGCGGGCAACCGUGACGCAGCGACGCCGCGUGAGGGAAGAAGGCCUUCGGGUUGUAAACCUCUUUCAGGAGGGACGAAGCCACUCGGGUGAAUAGCCCAGAGGGUGACGGUACCUCCAGAAGAAGCCCCGGCUAACUUCGUGCCAGCCGCCGCCGUAACAC